rnacentral:rRNA from 1 species
AUUGAACGCUGGCGGAAUGCUUUACACAUGCAAGUCGAACGGUAGAGGGGGCAACCCCUUGAGAGUGGCGAACGGGUGAGUAAUAUAUCGGAACGUGCCCAGUCGUGGGGAUAACGUAGCGAAAGUUACGCUAAUACCGCAUACGAUCUAAGGAUGAAAGCGGGGGAUCGCAAGACCUCGCGCGAUUGGAGCGGCCGAUAUCAGAUUAGGUAGUUGGUGAGGUAAAGGCUCACCAAGCCAACGAUCUGUAGCUGGUUUGAGAGAACGACCAGCCACACUGGGACUGAGACACGGCCCAGACUCCUACGGGAGGCAGCAGUGGGGAAUUUUGGACAAUGGACGCAAGUCUGAUCCAGCCAUUCCGCGUGCAGGAUGAAGGCCCUCGGGUUGUAAACUGCUUUUGUACGGACGAAAAGGUUUGUCUUAAUACGAUGAGCUCAUGACGGUACCGUAAGAAUAAGCACCGGCUAACUACGUGCCAGCAGCCGCGGUAAA